UACGGAGGGGGCUAGCGUUGUUCGGAAUUACUGGGCGUAAAGCGCACGUAGGCGGCUUUGCAAGUUAGAGGUGAAAUCCUGGAGCUCAACUCCAGAACUGCCUUUGAUACUGAGGAGCUUGGAGUCCGGGAGAGGUGAGUGGAACUGCGAGUGUAGAGGUGAAAUUCGUAGAUAUUCGCAAGAACACCAGUGGCGAAGGCGGCUCACUGGCCCGGUACUGACGCUGAGGUGCGAAAGCGUGGGGAGCAAACAGG
rnacentral:rRNA from 1 species